rnacentral:rRNA from 1 species
AGCUUGCUCUCAUGAUCAGCGGCGGACGGGUGAGUAACACGUGAGCAACCUGCCUUUCAGAGGGGGACAACAGUUGGAAACGGCUGCUAAUACCGCAUAAGCGCACAGAGCUGCAUGGCUCGGUGUGAAAAACUCCGGUGGUAUGGGAUGGGCCCGCGUCUGAUUAGGCAGUUGGCGGGGUAACGGCCCACCAAAGCGACGAUCAGUAGCCGGCCUGAGAGGGUGAACGGCCACAUUGGGACUGAGACACGGCCCAAACUCC